GGGCUUGUACUGGUUUCGACGGGGGUUUAGAAGUUAGAGAAGCUAUCCGCGGGGCGGGACCGCGUAUCAAUCCGUAACUAAAUAUAAACGCAGACGAAAAUUUAGCGUACGCUGCCUAGUGGCAGCAGUCGGCCUUAAGUCACUCAUCGCUUAAGUCACCGGCUUCAAACAGAUGAGGCACUUCGUUUCCAAAGCUUUGAGGGAAUGGAAGAAUUGAUGAAGCUACUAAAAUCAGCAGCCUGUCAUUAGGCGUCUGACGGAGGGAAUGUCAAAGUAAUGACUGUGAUAGGAGAAGCUUUAAUGGAAGAGCUUUCGGACAGGGGUUCGACUCCCCUCAGGUCCACU
rnacentral:tmRNA from 1 species